GUGCUUGCUUUGGUAGCAUAUGUGCUAAAAUUUCAACAAUACAGAAAAAAAUUAGCAUGACUCCUGCAUAUGCCAAUUUGUGAAGCAUUCCAUAUAUUU
ensembl:snRNA U6 U6 spliceosomal RNA